rnacentral:rRNA from 1 species
UACGGAGGGUGCAAGCGUUAUCCGGAUUCACUGGUUUUAAAGGGUGCGUAGGCGGGCAGGUAAGUCAGUGGUGAAAUCUCCAAGCUUAACUUGGAAACUGCCGUUGAUACUAUCUGUCUUGAAUACCGUGGAGGUGAGCGGAAUAUGUCAUGUAGCGGUGAAAUGCUUAGAUAUGACAUAGAACACCAAUUGCGAAGGCAGCUCACUACACAAUCAUUGACGCUGAGGCACGAAAGCGUGGGGAUCAAACAGG